CCCUACGGGGUGAAGGCGGUGCAGUGCGGUUUUUCCGUGGUCUUUCUCACAGCUGACGAGCUUUUGGAGCGACUGAGGCGGGAUGAAGCGACCGUGACCCGGAAAAGUCGUCGGAGGCGGUUCAUGAACGCCGCGCUGCUGGUCGUCGAUGAACUGGGUUUCCAGGCCUUGGACCGCAGGGACGCUCACCUGCUGUUCAAGGUGGUGAGCGGGCGUUACGAACGCGGCAGCAUUGUCCUGACUUCCAACAAGGGACUCCGGGACUGGCCCCAGGUGCUGGCGGGGGACGAGGUGCUGGCCACGGCGAUCCUGGACCGGCUCCGUCACCGUUCCCACGUGGGCCAGAUCGACGGUGGGAGUUUUCGCCUGAGGGAGAUGGAAAAACGCCUCAGGGAUUUGAAGGAAUUGGCGGGGGAGC
rnacentral:rRNA from 1 species